UAAGGUGGUAGGCUGAAAUCUUAGGUAAAUCCGGGGUUUCAAGGCCGAGAGCUGAUGACGAGUCGUCUUUUAGAUGACGAAGUGGUUGAUGCCAUGCUUCCAAGAAAAGCUUCUAAGCUUCAGGUAACCAGGAACCGUACCCCAAACCGACACAGGUGGUCGGGUAGAGAAUACCAAGGCGCUUGAGAGAACUCGGGUGAAGGAACUAGGCAAAAUGGCACCGUAACUUCGGGAGAAGGUGCGCCGGCUAGGGUG
rnacentral:rRNA from 1 species